GAGAGGAGAGGCAUGUGUGGAAUGCAAAUGGCAUCGAUUUCCAUUUGGAGUUGCAGUUGCAGUUACAAUGGAUGGAGGUGUAGCGUUGAUGAUGGAGGUGCGAGACAGGUGGCGGUGACGGUUUCAGCUUCAGGAUCUUAUUCUCAUCAACAGAUUACGAGAAGGUCCAUGGCGGUUCUGAUUUCAUCAUUGCCUUUCAUGACUUCCGUUUUGCUCUCCGAUUCGCCAGCACUUGCCAGGGAGAGGCGCAACAAGAAGAACAUCCCUCUUGACCAAUACAUUACUACUCAGGAUGGAUUGAAAUACUAUGAUUUGGUGGAAGGGAAAGGUCCAGUGGCUGAAAAGGGAUCUACCGUUCAGGUACAUUUUGAUUGCUUAUAUCGCGGAAUUACCGCGGUAUCAAGCCGAGAAUCUAAACUUCUUGCUGGAAAUCGUAUCAUUGCUCAGCCAUAUGAAUUUAAGGUGGGAGCUCCACCAGGGAAGGAAAGGAAGCGGGAAUUUGUAGACAACCCGAACGGUCUAUUCUCUGCACAAGCAGCACCAAAACCUCCACCGGCUAUGUACACUAUUGUUGAAGGAAUGCGUGUUGGUGGAAAGCGAACUGUGAUUGUUCCUGCAGAGAGUGGGUAUGGUCAAAGGGGAAUGAAUGAGAUUCCGCCUGGAGCUACAUUUGAAUUAAAUGUUGAGCUUCUGCAAAUUGUAGAUACCUGAAGACCAACAACUUUAUCGUUUAGUACUUCUCAUGCCUAUUCCUUCUCCAUUAUUACCUUAUUUCUUGGAAUAGGGGCGAGAAACCCUAUGUGCAUUUUUAUUGUGAGAUUGAUGUACUUCCCUUUAGCUUUGCCUGCAAUUUUAAUGUGAACUUAUUUUUAGUAACACUUUCACAUGCUGCUGCAAAAUUAUUCCUUAUUUGUGGAAGACUGGAAGGUAUAUAAUGGCAUAAAAACCAAAACAAACUAACAUGAUCAUCUGUGUUGGACUGGGUAGUUUUUGGCAUUUAACUAACUACAGAUACUAACUUUUAUUAACCAAAACCUGCUCAGUCCUCACUCCUCAUGGCUCAAAUAACUUUUAUUUGGCAGGUUUAGACAAACCCCAAAGUGCUUUUUUUAACAGGUUUGUGUUGUUUUUUUCCGGUUCCACUCUCAAUUGCACUUUGCUAAUGCCAUUUGCAUACUGCUAGCUCUUUGAAUUUAGUACACACUAUACUUUCUUGAAUUAUUAUAGUAGAUUGUAGUUAUGCAUCUCAAUUUGUUGGAAGGGUAGAGUUGGUGGAGAAAGAAAAUUUAUGGUCUCUUGUACUUCAAGUAAGCAUUGUGGAUCAUAUUUUAACUAUGAUUUUGAGUUGCCUGGUGUCAACUGUCAACAAUCCACAUUACUAACUGUACAUAGUUAUUGGAAGAAGAGUAAUUUCUCAAGUUUAUUAAUGAUACCAAUGGAAGUUAUGGGACCAAGUGGCUGACGUCUUCUGUUAUGUUGUGUGUCUAGAAAAGAAAAGAACGAUUUUUUCUGCUUUACUUGUCUUUUUUCUUAAUGGUGCACUAUAUGUUAGAACUCUUGUUUCAGGUUCUUUUUGUGCAGAUUAGGGAGAACUAUAAUUGGACCUUCAAGCAAACUUAAAAGAGAGAAACUUCAUUAUGGACACCCUUGAAUCAACACUAAACUCCAUGAAACUCCGAGAAUCCACGAGGACUGAUGUCUUAUCCUUACUUCUGGUGUGCCUACCACUUCAUCUUCAUGUAGGACUGACAAUACUAAUCUUAUUCGAAUGCAUGCAAUUUGAUCCAGCCUAUUUGACUAAGGUUGACAAUCCAAUCCACAACAAGUUGGGUUGAGA